rnacentral:rRNA from 1 species
AGCAUAUCAAUAGCGGAGGA